rnacentral:rRNA from 1 species
GAUGAACGCUGGCGGCGUGCCUAAUACAUGCAAGUCGAGCGAACGGACGAGAAACUUGCCUCUCUGAUGUUAGCGGCGGACGGGUGAGUAACACGUGGAUAACCUACCUAUAAGACUGGGAUAACUUCGGGAAACCGGAGCUAAUACCGGAUAAUAUUUUGAACCGCAUGGUUCAAAAGUGAAAGACGGUCUUGCUGUCACUUAUAGAUGGAUCCGCGCUGCAUUAGCUAGUUGGUAAGGUAACGGCUUACCAAGGCGACGAUGCAUAGCCGACCUGAGAGGGUGAUCAGCCACACUGGAACUGAGACACGGUCCAGACUCCUACGGGAGGCAGCAGUGGGGAAUCUUGCGCAAUGGGCGAAAGCCUGACGGAGCAACGCCGCGUGAGUGAAGAAGGUCUUCGGAUCGUAAAGCUCUGUUAGUAGGGAGGAACAUAUGUGUGAGUAACUCUGCACAUCUUGACGGUACCUAAUCAGAAAGCCCCGGCUAACUACGUG